GAUGAACGCUAGCGGCAGGCUUAACACAUGCAAGUCGAGGGGCAGCACUUGUAGCAAUACAUGGUGGCGACCGGCGCAAGGGUGCGUAACGCGUGAGCAACAUGCCCGUAUCAGGGGGAUAAUCCAGGGAAACUUGGUCUAAUACCCCAUAGCAAUUAAAGGAGGCAUCUUUUUUAAUUUAAAGCUUUGGUGGAUACGGAUUGGCUCGCGUGACAUUAGCUAGAUGGUAAGGUAACGGCUUACCAUGGCUACGAUGUCUAGGGGUUCUGAGAGGAAGAUCCCCCACACUGGAACUGAGACACGGUCCAGACUCCUACGGGAGGCAGCAGUGAGGAAUAUUGGACAAUGGAUGGAAAUCUGAUCCAGCCAUGCCGCGUGCAGGAAGACGGCCCUAUGGGUUGUAAACUGCUUUUGUAUGGGAGCAAUAAGGUCUAGUGCGUAGACUGAUGAGAGUACCAUACGAUAAGCAUCGGCUAACUCCG
rnacentral:rRNA from 1 species